ensembl:lncRNA
ACACACCGCAGUAGCACCCUAAACUAAAACUACCAAUGGGUUCCCUGUUUUCCUUUCUGAACAAUUCAAAGGUCCCUCUCUAUCUCCCCACACAUCCACCAACCACUGGAACACAUCUCCAAAGUUCUGCCGGGCCAGCUCAGCUUCCCCUCAGAAGAAGUGCUGCCACCUGCCAGAUGAAGGAGCAUUUUGAGAGGCAGCUGGCAUCGUGAUUGGACUGUACUUUGGUCUGUUCCAAUCCAGCUUCAGUUCCAGAGAUGGCAGGCGGGACGAGUCAACGGAGGCCGGGUGGACGAAGGCAUGCAGCUGAGUACAAUCCAGAAAACAACAGUGGAGGAGUGCAGCAGCCCAGAGCCAGAACAGAGUAGCAUGACCAAAGAACUACAGACUCUUCACAACCUGCUCAAACUCUUGGUACAGGACCUCACCACACGGGUCAAGAAGGUUGCUUUGUAGAACUGUUCCAGAAAACCUCACUAAACCACAUGGAGGGGCCUCAAGAUAGUCGUCCACAUGAAACCUUACAAAAACCAAACUAGCACAACCCAAAUGCUAAAGUCUCCUGCAGCCUACCAGAGAACCUCUGAGAACAGAGAAUCAGGACAGGAACUCUUACCUUCUGGACAACCAACCUUGGUUCACAAACAAGUAUACAGAAUGUGUCUGACCAAAAACCUCUACAGACUCACUACAGCCAAGAUAAAGACACAACUCACCUGCACCAAAUCCACUAAUCACUGCACACAUUAGCACCAUGUGCUAACUGUGGCUAAAGAACCACAUUUACCAAGACAACUAUCCAGUACAAAACCCUAAAACACACCAAGAAACACAUUAAAGACGAUUUUACUGCUGGAAGCUGCAAGCCAACGCCUAAACAACAAACUAAAGCAACGGAGCCAAACCCAGUUCAGUGGUGAACAGAAGCAGAGGAAAUGUUUGUCUGCAGCUAAAUAAAGCAGGAAGACACUGAGCUGCUCAGGUGUUCCUGAUAACACCAAGCAGCCACCUGGACAGCCAAUAGGAACACAGCUUACUGGAAGUCCAGAGGGCUGGCUUAGUGAAGGAAAUUUAGUUUAAAUUUGAAGCAGAAAGUUAACAAAGAAAGUUGAAAACCACCUUCUGAUACCUGAAAUCUCUGAGUUUUCACACAAAGAACACCUGAACAUGUCAAACUGGUUCCAUAGUAGAACCAUCAUUGUAAAAACGUCAUAGUAUGGUGUGUUGCUCAAAAAA